rnacentral:lncRNA from 1 species
CUGUAGUAGAAGUACUCAGGGUAGCCAAGCAAGCUGCUUGCUGCUCCACCUCUGAGGAAGGCCUGGGACCUGUCUUCAGGGGCAUCAACCAGGUUUGCAGUAAGGCUUGGUCAAUGAAGAGGUGACAAGAGGAAAAUCCCAGCAAACUCCAAAGGUAAACUCCAACAGAAGGAACUGCAAAGAAGACCCAAGUGGGACCCCCAGAACUGGAAGGCACAGAAACCCAGUUACUGCUGUCCAUGAUCUCACAAUGGACUUCACC